GUGCUUAUGGUGUCAAUGGUUAGCAUGUCAGAUUGUGGUUCUGAAAGUAUCGGUUCGAAUCCGUUUAAGCACC
rnacentral:tRNA from 1 species